rnacentral:rRNA from 1 species
UGGGGAAUUUUGGACAAUGGGCGAAAGCCUGAUCCAGCAAUGCCGCGUGUGUGAAGAAGGCCUUCGGGUUGUAAAGCACUUUUGUCCGGAAAGAAAUCCUUGGCUCUAAUACAGUCGGGGGAUGACGGUACCGGAAGAAUAAGCACCGGCUAACUACGUGCCAGCAGCCGCGGUAAUACGUAGGGUGCAAGCGUUAAUCGGAAUUACUGGGCGUAAAGCGUGCGCAGGCGGUUUGCUAAGACCGAUGUGAAAUCCCCGGGCUCAACCUGGGAACUGCAUUGGGUGACUGGCAGGCUAGAGUAUGGCAGAGGGGGGUAGAAUUCCACGUGUAGCAGUGAAAUGCGUAGAGAUGUGGAGGAAUACCGAUGGCGAAGGCAGCCCCCUGGGCCAAUACUGACGCUCAUGCACGAAAAGCGUGGGGGAGCAAAACAGGAUUAGAUACCCUGGUAGUCCACGCCCUAAAACGAUGUCAACUAGUUGUUGGGGAUUCAUUUCCUUAGUAACGUAGCUAACGCGUGAAGUUGACCGCCUGGGGGAGUACGGUCGCAAGAUUAAAACUUAAAUGAAUUGACGGGG